UUGCGCGUCAUUGGGGAGUAGCCACCCUCCGGCGUUGGAGGGGUUCGCGUCAACAGACUUGGACGGUUCCGGCGGGUGCGCCGAACCGCCAUGGCGCGGACAGCCGUCUUCGGACCAGCCAGGCGAGACCAGUGGAACGGGCAUCUCCGCAGGCCAGCCGGAGUCCGCCUGUAUCCACUGAAAUCCGCUUGGCCGAGGAUUCGUCGAUGUUCGGGACCUCCCUGGCCCUAG
rnacentral:sRNA from 1 species